rnacentral:rRNA from 1 species
GACGAACGCUGGCGGUGUGCUUAACACAUGCAAGUCGAACGGUAAGGCCCUUUCGGGGGUACACGAGUGGCGAACGGGGGAGUAACACGUGAGUAACCUGCCCUCAUCUCUGGGAUAACAGUCGGAAACGGUUGCUAAUACUGGAUAUGAGCUUGCAAGGCAUCUUGUGGGUUGGAAAGAUUUUUUUUGGUUGGGGAUGGACUCGCGACCUAUCAGCUUGUUGGUGGGGUAGUGGCUCACCAAGGCCUCGACGGGUAGCCGGCCUGAGGGGGCGACCGGCCACACUGGGACUGGGCUACGGCCCACACUCCUACGGGAGGCAGCAGGGGGGAAUACUGCACAGUGGACGGCCGUCUGAUGCAGGAACGCCGCCUGCGCGAUGACCGCCUUCGGGUUGUAAACCCAUUUCAAUUGUGACCAAGGCUUUUUGUGACGGUAGCAGUACAAGAAGCACCGGCUAACUACGUG